GGGAAAUGGGCCGAUUUUUUUAAGACGAAAAAUGACAUCAAUGUCGAGAUGUUAACCAAUGUAGUAACGACCAAGACGGGAAACGCAGUGAGCAACAGACAGGGCUGUAAGGAAUCGAUCGACUUAAACGCAGGGGAAACUUAUGUAUUUAUUCAGAAAAUGACGGAACCAAACUUAAGUGCACGUAUUCAGUUAAGGUAAGAAUUAUUCCCAAUGGGACUGUUAAAAAAAAAUGUUUUUUACUAUAUAUUAGAUAUGAGAAUGAUAUUGACCGUUUGUUUAAGAAUCAUAUGCUGAUGCAAAUUCAUUCCAAAA